UCAGAUUGAAUUUUUCAGAGCUGCCUGGGGGUUGCUCUGAGUUCUUUGUCAGGUUUCUCUUCAGGUUUUGUCAAGGGUUUUGUUUCAAGGAAACCUCAGAGUAUUUUUGCUUCUCUUCCUUUUUCUGUCUGAUCUCCCUCUUUUAUAACCUAAUUUUCAUGGCUUUGUGGGCUCAAAUGAGAGAGGUCCAAGUCCAAGUUUUU
rnacentral:lncRNA from 1 species